GUCUACAGCCAUACCACCCUGAACACGCACGAUCUCGUCUGAUCUCGGAAGCUAAGCAGGGUCAGGCCUGGUUAGUAUUGGAUGGGAGACCACCUGGGAAUACUGGGUGCUAUAGGCU
rnacentral:rRNA from 1 species